AAGGAACCUUUAUGGGGAGAGAGGAGGUUCUAGAGGACGUUGGCUGAGCAGUAGAGGAGGUUCUAGAGUUAAAGGAACAUUUAUGGGGAGAGAGGAGGUUCUAGAGUUAAAGGAACCUUUAGGGGGAGAGAGGAGGUUCUAGAGUUAAAGGAACCUUUAGGGGGAGAGAGGAGGUUCUAGAGUUAAAGGAACCUUUAUGGGGAGAGAGGAGGUUCUAGAGGACGUUGGCUGAGCAGUAGAGGAGGUUCUAGAGUUAAAGGAACCUUUAGGGGGAGAGAGGAGGUUCUAGAGUUAAAGGAACCUUUAUGGGGAGAGAGAAGGUUCUAGAGUUAAAGGAACCUUUAGGGGAGAGAGGAGGUUCUAGAUGACGUUGGCUGAGCAGUAGAGGAGGUUCUAGAGUUAAAGGAACCUUUAUGGGGAGAGAGGAGGUUCUAGAGGACGUUGGCUGAGCAGUAGAGGAGGUUCUAGAGUUAAAGGAACAUUUAUGGGGAGAGAGGAGGUUCUAGAGUUAAAGGAACCUUUAGGGGGAGAGAGGAGGUUCUAGAGUUAAAGGAACCUUUAGGGGGAGAGAGGAGGUUCUAGAGUUAAAGGAACCUUUAUGGGGAGAGAGAAGGUUCUAGAGUUAAAGGAACCUUUAGGGGGAGAGAGGAGGUUCUAGAGUUAAAGGAACCUUUAUGGGGAGAGAGGAGGUUCUAGAUGACGUUGGCUGAGCAGUAUCUGGGCUAAUAACAGGGAAGGUUUGAACUAUGCAGACAGAAGAAGUGUCGCGUUCCUCUGAUGCUGAGGUUCUAAAUAAAUAAAUACAUUUUCAGAAUUUUGUGAAGAGUUGUAGUAGAAAUAAAAAAAUAACUAGAAUCUCUGUUAGAUUAAAGGAGAUUAAAGAUUAAAAAUACCCCUUAAGACUUAGCUGAGGGGAAAUGACCAGGUGACCAGGUGAGUUUAAUGCAGACAGGUGAGUUAAAUGCAGACAGGUGAGUUUAAUGCAGACAGGUGGGUUUAAUGCAGACAGGUGAGUUAAAUGCAGACAGGUGGGUUUAAUGCAGACAGGUGUUACAGCAGCAGGUCAGGUGGGUUUAAUGCAGACAGGUGUUACAGCAGCAGGUCAGGUGAGUUUAAUGCAGACAGGUGUUACAGCAGCAGGUCAGGUGAGUUUAAUG